GUGUGUAGGACAGAGAACCUUAUAUGGUAAAACUUGAGUGUGUAUCAUAAAAAUGCGAUGCUUAGAUCCCUCAUUUGUUUCUGUAAAUGCUGCAAA